UACGUAGGGUGCGAGCGUUGUCCGGAAUUACUGGGCGUAAAGAGCUCGUAGGCGGUUCGUCGCGUCGGCUGUGAAAACCUGAGGCUCAACCUCAGGCCUGCAGUCGAUACGGGCGGACUUGAGUACUGCAGGGGAGACUGGAAUUCCUGGUGUAGCGGUGGAAUGACGCAGGAUAUCGAGGAGGAACACCGGUGGCGAAGGCGGGUCUCUGGGCCGACACGUGACGCUGGAGGAGCGAAAGACGUGGGGAGCGAACAGGA
rnacentral:rRNA from 1 species